CCUACGGGUGGCAGCAGUGAGGAAUAUUGGUCAAUGGGCGGAAGCCUGAACCAGCCAAGUAGCGUGAGGGAAUAAGGCCCUACGGGUCGUAAACCUCUUUUGCCGGGGAGCAAGGGCGGGGACGUGUCCCGGCCCGGAGAGUACCCGGAGAAAAAGCCUCGGCUAACUCCGUGCCAGCAGCCGGGGUAAUUCGGAGGUUGCGAGCGUUAUCCGGAUUUCUUGGGUUUCAGGGGUGCGUAGUCGGGAUUUUAAGUCAGCGGUAAAAAUUCGGGGCUCAACCCCGUCCGGCCGUUGAAACUGGGGGCAUUGAGGGGGCGAGAAGAAGGCGGAAUGCGUGGUGUAGCGGUGAAAUGCAUAGAUAUCACGCAGAACCCCGAGUGCGAAGGCAGCCUUCCGGCGCCCUACUGACGCUGAGGCACGAAAGUGCGGGGAUCGAACAGGAUUAGAUACCCGAGUAGUC
rnacentral:rRNA from 1 species